AUUGAACGCUGGCGGAAUGCUUUACACAUGCAAGUCGAACGGCAGCACGGGGCAACCUGGUGGCGAGUGGCGAACGGGUGAGUAAUACAUCGGAACGUGCCCAAUCGUGGGGGAUAACGUAGCGAAAGUUACGCUAAUACCGCAUACGAUCUACGGAUGAAAGCGGGGGAUCGCAAGACCUCGCGCGAAUGGAGCGGCCGAUGUCAGAUUAGGUAGUUGGUGGGGUAAAGGCUCACCAAGCCGACGAUCUGUAGCUGGUCUGAGAGGACGACCAGCCACACUGGGACUGAGACACGGCCCAGACUCCUACGGGAGGCAGCAGUGGGGAAUUUUGGACAAUGGGCGAAAGCCUGAUCCAGCAAUGCCGCGUGAGUGAUGAAGGCCUUAGGGUUGUAAAGCUCUUUUACCCGGGAUGAUAAUGACAGUACCGGGAGAAUAAGCUCCGGCUAACUCCGUGCCAGCAGCCGCGGUAAGGUCGUCAUGU
rnacentral:rRNA from 1 species